rnacentral:rRNA from 1 species
AUGGACGAAAGAGGGGGCAGUGUGGAUCAGGGAUCUGGAGAUGGAAGAGGAGCUACUUCUAGGCUGUAUCAGCAUGAUCGAUCGUCAUCAAGCGUAUCACAAGGUCAAUGGAAGGUCAAAACACAACAAAAUCAGAAACCCUCAACUGCUAGUGCGGGGGGUGGCUCAAACAUUGUUCAGAAAAACAAGAACAGUGCUAGGGAAGAGAGUAUCAACCACAACCGCCAAUGCAUUGUGUGGGACUUGGUAUUCUUUAUAGCUCAAAAUGCAAGGAAUACCAAGGAAGAGGGAGAAGUCUCAACACUUGGGAUUCAAGUGAUCACUGGGAGGCGGUCUGCUGAAGAUCUUCAAAUGGGUAUGACAUUUCAGUUUCCUUGUGGGAGAGAGUGGACUGUUACCCCAAAGGACAACGAGUUCUUGGUACAAUUUCCCAAUAAUGAGAAGUUAGAGAUGCUGAUAGGAGUGGAUGAGUUCAAACUGAAAGGGACCAAUUCUUACAUUAAAGUUACCAGAGUUGUGUCAGAUGAGAUACCAGUGGGUAGAAUGUGGUCUGUUUGGGGAACUGCAAGAGGAAUCCCAAAAGACAUGAGACACUUCAAAGGGAUUUGUGAGAUUGGGGCCAUGAUAGGUGCUGUGGAUAAUGCUAAUAUGCAAUUAUUGAAUGACAAGGGGGUUGUUAGGUUCUUGGUGGAUGUUAGAACUCUUAGACCAUUCCCUCUGGCUCUGGAGUACUACAUUAAACCCCAUCUGUACGGAGUAGUGAUAUAUAUUCAAAGUGUGGUGGAGGCAGGGAAUGUACCUGAGCCUGGAGAAGAAGGAGGCAAUGCUAAAAGAGGACUUGGGGAUUUCUUUCAGAAAGGAAGAGAUGAGAGGGAAGGGAAUGAACAUACAACAGAAGGCUGA